UUUACAGGUCAAUAAUAUAGUUUUACCAUGAAGGUUAUAAUAGUUCUAACUCUAAUAUGCUUGUUGAUCGCUGCUGUGGAUUCCAAUACCAUCCGGUUUGUGUGCCACCGUCCGAAGUUUACCUGCAUGAAGGGCUACUACAUCGGCGGUAGAUAUAUUUGCAUUAACCCAAAAAAGUCUUGCUUCUGUAAGUACAAACUAUGUGUUCAUUAAACUAGUUCUAAAUUUA